rnacentral:rRNA from 1 species
GACGAACGCUGGCGGCGUGCUUAACACAUGCGAGUCGAACGGAAAGGCCUGCUUUCCCUUGUGGAUUGCGGGUACUCGAGUGGCGAACGGGUGAGUAACACGUGAGUGAUCUGCCCCCAACUUGGGUAUAAGCCUGGGAAACUGGGUCUAAUUCCCGAUAGGACUGCAGGGCGGUGCCUGUGGUGGAAAACGAUUUUCUAGUGGUUGGGGAUGAGCUCGCGGCCUAUCAGCUUGUUGGUGGGGUAAUGGCCUACCAAGGCGGCGACGGGUAGCCGGCCUGGGAGGGUGGACGGCCACAUUGGGACUGAGAUACGGCCCAGACCCCUACGGGAGGCAGCAGUGGGGAAUAUUGCACAAUGGGCGGAAGCCUGAUGCAGCGACGCCGCGUGGGGGAUGACGGCCUUCGGGUUGUAAACUCCUUUCGACCGCGAGGAAGCCACCUGGUUGGAAGGGUGGUGACGGUAGUGGUAGAAGAAGCACCGGCUAACUACGUG